rnacentral:rRNA from 1 species
GACGAAGGGGGCUAGCGUUGUUCGGAAUUACUGGGCGUAAAGCGCGUGUAGGCGGUUGCCCAAGUCGGGUGUGAAAGCCUUGAGCUCAACUCAAGAAAUGCACUCGGUACUGGGUGACUAGAGGACCGGAGAGGAUAGUGGAAUUCCCAGUGUAGUGGUGAAAUACGUAGAGAUUGGGAGGAACACCAGUGGCGAAGGCGGCUAUCUGGACGGUUUCUGACGCUAAGACGCGAAAGCGUGGGGAGCAAACAGG